CUGGAUCAUGCACAGAAACUUUCGCAAGUGGAUUUUCUACGUGUUUCUCUGCUUUGGCGUCCUGUACGUGAAGCUCGGGAUUUUAUCCUGGAACAUUACAGUGAAGAUGGCUAUUUAUAUGAAGAUGAAAUCGCAGAUCUUAUGGAUCUGAGACAAGCUUGUCGGACGCCCAGCUGGGAUGAGGCCGGGGUGGAACUGCUGAUGACAUACUUCAUCCAGCUGGGCUUUGUCGAGAGUCAAUUCUUCCCACCCACGU